rnacentral:rRNA from 1 species
AACGAACGCUGGCGGCAUGCCUAACACAUGCAAGUCGAACGAGACCUUCGGGUCUAGUGUCGCACGGGUGCGUAACGCGUGGGAACCUGCCCUUAGGUUCGGAAUAACUCCCCGAAAGGGGUGCUAAUACCGGAUAAUGUCUUCGGACCAAAGAUUUAUCGCCUUUGGAUGGGCCCGCGUUGGAUUAGCUAGUUGGUAGGGUAAAAGCCUACCAAGGCGACGAUCCAUAGCUGGUCUGAGAGGAUGAUCAGCCACACUGGGACUGAGGCACGGCCCAGACUCCUACGGGAGGCAGCAGUGGGGAAUAUUGGACAGUGGGCGAAAGCCUGAUCCAGCAAUGCCGCGUGAGUGAUGAAGGCCUUAGGGUUGUAAAGCUCUUUUACCCGGGAUGAUAAUGACAGUACCGGGAGAAUAAGCUCCGGCUAACUCCGUG